GAUGAACGCUGGCGGCGUGCCUAAUACAUGCAAGUCGAGCGAACAGACGAGGAGCUUGCUCCGCGGACGAUAGCGGCGGACGGGUGAGUAACACGUGGAUAACCUACCUAUAAGACUGGGAAAACCUCGGGAAACCGGAGCUAAUACCGUAGAAGAUAUUGAACCGCAGGGGUGAAUAGUAAAAUACGGUUUUGCGGUCACGUAUAGAGGGAUCUCGGCCGCAUUGGCUAGUUGUGAGGGUAACGGCUUACCAAGGCGAGGAUGCGUAGCCGACCUGUGAGGCUGGUCGCCCACACUGGAGCUGGGACACGGUCCAGGCUCCUACGGGAGGCACCAGUCGCCUAUGUUCCGCAGUGGUCGGGAGCCUUGCGGAGCAGCGCCACGUCUGUGGUGAAGGUCUUCCGAUCGUGAAGCUCUGUUUUUAGUGAAGAACCGCUGUGUCCUUAGCUGUACCCGGCUUGACGGUACCUGAUCAGAAAGCAACGGCUAACUACGUG
rnacentral:rRNA from 1 species